UCAAAUAAAACGAAAGGCUCAGUCGAAAGACUGGGCCUUUCGUUUUAUCUGUUGUUUGUCGGUGAACGCUCUCCUGAGUAGGACAAAUCCGCCGGGAGCGGAUUUGAACGUUGCGAAGCAACGGCCCGGAGGGUGGCGGGCAGGACGCCCGCCAUAAACUGCCAGGCAUCAAAUUAAGCAGAAGGCCAUCCUGACGGAUGGCCUUUUUGCGUUUCUACAAACUCUUCCUGUCGUCAUAUCUACAAGCCAUCCCCCCACAGAUACGGUAAACUAGCCUCGUUUUUGCAUCAGGAAAGCAGCUGUUUUGGCGGAUGAGAGAAGAUUUUCAGCCUGAUACAGAUUAAAUCAGAACGCAGAAGCGGUCUGAUAAAACAGAAUUUGCCUGGCGGCAGUAGCGCGGUGGUCCCACCUGACCCCAUGCCGAACUCAGAAGUGAAACGCCGUAGCGCCGAUGGUAGUGUGGGGUCUCCCCAUGCGAGAGUAGGGAACUGCCAGGCAU
rnacentral:rRNA from 1 species